rnacentral:rRNA from 1 species
GAUCAUGGCUCAGGAUGAACGCUAGCUACAGGCUUAACACAUGCAAGUCGAGGGGCAGCAUGGUCUUAGCUUACUAAGGCUGAUGGCGACCGGCGCACGGGUGAGUAACACGUAUCCAACCUGCCGUCUACUCUUGGCCAGCCUUCUGAAAGGAAGAUUAAUCCAGGAUGGGAUCAUGAGUUCACAUGUCCGCAUAAUUAAAGGUAUUUUCCGGUAGACGAUGGGGAUGCG